UAUCCUGGAAGUUAAUUAUAUAAACUAGCUUGGGAUAGUCACUGUAACAGCUAUCAAGUUCAACAAAAAGUUAAACAGAAACUACGUAUUUCAUUGGAUGUAAAAUAUUGUUCUACAUAAACGACCGCUUAUAGAAUACAAAAGGAAAUGCAAUGACUAUACUGAUAUUCAGAAGUAUUCGGAUGUAUCUCCGAAAAAAAUAAAGUUGUGGAUAUUCCGUCAAUUUGUUUUAACCACUGUUUGGUGUUUUGAAAAACGUUUGUGGAACGAUGAACCCUUGGUUUGGUGCAUAUAAUGGUCAAUAUCGCCCUAGAGGAAGGACUAAAUACACAUACUUGCAACAAGAAUUCUCGUAUUCAUCAGGACAUUCUGGUGCCCCAUUGCAACAACAUUUAGGACCUCCAGCUAUGCCACCGCAGUCUUUUGGUGAAUACGGCGGCGCUCCAGGUGGUUCUUUUGAACAGGCUUUAGUUCCACUAGGUUGGGUUACAAGUCUUUCAUUAUUUUUAUGUUAUGUGUAAAACAAUUAUAUACUAGUUCAUAGUUAUUUGUCAAGGUGACCAAAAGUUUGCAUUUUUAUCAUAUUUAAAUUGUGUAAUUAACGUUUCUUGACUAUAUAAAAAUUGCCGAGCAAAUCCUUCUGGCUCUAAACAUAGGAAUAAAACUAGUUGCUAAAUGUUUCUUGUUAUAUAUAAUGUUUAGAAAAAUUAAAUAUGUGGCUGCUAAAAUGACAGCUGUUUUAUGAUAGGAUUAAUUAAACUUAAUGAACGAUUCGAAACAUAAUACAUAUUUAUGUAGCCGGAAAAAAUCUAACAUAUAACAGACAAUUUAAUCUAGAAAUUUGAAUCACAAAAUAAGCAUGUAAAGUAUGAUUUUAAGUAUGCCAUCAAACACAUUUGAUGGUAACAUGUACCCCAAUUCGUCAGGUGCUGCAGCUCUACCGUUUCAACAGCCUUCCGGUCCACCAGGUACGUACAUAAAGUUAUUGAUUGCAUUCAUAUAACAGAAUAGUUAUCACAUGCUCUUUCCAAGAUACACAAGUUUUAAAGUUUAAUGUUAAAAAAAAAUUACUUUGUGCACGAUAGAUACUCACUUCGUUUGUUGUUAUUUUGCUUGGUUUCGUUCUAUUCUUCCACAGGAUAUUUUUACAGACUUUUUUUAAAACUAUCACAGCAACAGUCUAAGUGCCAUGCUGGUUCAGUAAAUGGUCUGUGCGUAUUUGGACUCGGUGUUAUUAUAUGAGGGGCUGUCGGAAAAUAUUCGUGUUUUUUGCCAUUUGUCAAAAAACCGUCUUUACUUUAAAAAAAAUCAUUCUUUUUUCAUAUGGGUCCCCGCCUAUGUCUGUACACGUUUGCCAUCAUCUUCAUUGAAUCUUUUAUGUUUCCGCUGUAAACCAUGAAGGUACCGAUUUCAGCUGAAAUCACAGCCACAUUGGUCUUAAACUUGUUACCAGCGAGCCUUUAAUAGAUAAAAGUCGCAUGGGGCAAGGUCUGUAGUGUACGGAGGGUGAUACUAAAAUUUUCAUUCGAAAGGGUUGAAAAGUUUUAACAUAGAUGAGGCAGUAUGAGAGUGUGCAUUAUCAUGCAAAAGAAUGACAUUUUAGGGGCAAGUCUAGGACGCAACGUUUCCCACAUUUCAUUUUCUUUUCAAAACUAGAGAUGCUUUUGAGAAAAGCGCAUGUCUCCCACAACUGCCCCUAUGAAAAAUGUUAGUUUCUCUAGAUGUUUUAGACGAGUGAAUCCAAUUAGACGGUCUGGAUGAGUGGAUCCAAUCAGUAAUUCAAGGGCCAUAAAUCAAAAGUGCCUGGGCGGAUUUGGCUAGUUAUCGAACUUGGGUAAGGUCUUGUGGCCAAACACAUUUUAUUCAAGUUUGGUGAUGAUCGGAUGAGAAAUGUUCGGCUUAGAGAGCGGACAAGAAUAAACAGACGGACUUUUUCGGUAAUUCAAGGGCCGUAACUCUAAAAUGCCUAAAUCGAAUUGGCUAGUUAUCGAACUUGGCCGAGGUCUCAUGGUCAAACACAUUUUGGUCAAGUUUGGUGAAGAUCGGAUGAGAAAUGUUCGACUUAGAGUGCGGACAAGAGUAAAAAGGCCGAUUUUUCGAUAAUUCAAUGACUGUAACUCCAAAAUGCCUGGACCGGUUUGGCUAUUUAUCGAACUUGGCCGAGGUCUUAUGGUCAAACACAUUUUGUUCAAGUUUGGUGAAAAUCGGAUGAGAAAUGUUCGACUUAGAGUGCGGACAAGCUUUGUGACACACACACACACACACACACACACACACACACACACUGGAGUAAAUCCAUAUGUCUCCCACACUACUGUGUGGUGGGAGAAAUAAUUACUUCUGAGUAGUAUCAAGCAAUCACAAGUUGUCAUUUUAACAUGAAAUGAGCCAGUAUUAUUCCAUGUGAGUAAUAGAAAACCACAAAAAAAAAAAAAAAAAAAACAAUCGGCAUAACCUUGCAAGUAGAGACAGCUUAAACGUCUUGGAUCAUGGAUAUAUCCACGGCAGUUUAUGUCACCCUGUUCAAAAAAAGUCAUCAUGAAUAUAACCGACUUAAAAUCAGACACAUAGAAUCAACAAACACCUACCGUCUUGCUUAAACAUGAACGACCUUCAACGUACACUUAUGUACUUGUAUGUUAAUUCAUGUUGAGAUACCUAGAAACAUUCUACACGUUUGGAUCAAAAACAUUUCUACAAUGCAGAAUUUGAUUAAUCCUGAUUUUUCAAAUCAUCAGAAUAUACUUAGAAAAUUCAGCAAAUAAAAAUGAUACGGUCGUGCGCUUAGUUUUUUGCUAGACUGACACAUUUUUUUAUAAAGGGAGUCUAUGGGAAAAUCACAACUUCUAUUUCUGUUUUUCUACAAUGUAGAUUUUAAUAAAACUUCUCACAGUCGUAAAUAAAUAUAUGGUUUAUAAUAUGGUAAAAUAAAAUGUCUAGGUCCGUGUGCUUAUUUUUGAGCUGUUUGACCAAACUUAAAGUGAACCGUAAAUUUCAUGAUAAUUUAAGAUACUAUUUUAAAUUAUUUAACGUCACAGAUGUUUUAAUAUCAUAAAUUAACUUUAGAG